rnacentral:rRNA from 1 species
UACGUAGGGUGCAAGCGUUGUCCGGAAUUAUUGGGCGUAAAGAGCGUGUAGGCGGCCAGGUAGGUCUGGUGUGAAAACUCGAGGCUUAACCUCGAGAUGUCAUCGGAAACCAUUUGGCUAGAGUCCGGAAGAGGAGAGUGGAAUUCCUGGUGUAGCGGUGAAAUGCGCAGAUAUCAGGAAGAACACCAAUGGCGAAAGCAGCUCUCUGGGACGGUACUGACGCUGAGAAGCGAAAGCAUGGGGAGCGAACAGG